rnacentral:rRNA from 1 species
GACGAACGCUGGCGGCGUGCUUAACACAUGCAAGUCGAGCGGUAAGGCCCUUUCGGGGGUACACGAGCGGCGAACGGGCGAGUAACACGUGGGUGACCUGCCCUCAGCUCUGGGAUAAGCCUGGGAAACCGGGUCUAAUACCGGAUAUGACUCCAUGACGCAUGUUGUGGGGUGGAAAGCCUUGUGCGGCUGAGGAUGGGCCCGCGGCCUAUCAGCUUGUUGGUGGGGUGANGGCCUACCAAGGCGACGACGGGUAGCCGGCCUGAGAGGGCGACCGGCCACACUGGGACUGAGACACGGCCCAGACUCCUACGGGAGGCAGCAGUGGGGAAUCUUACGCAAUGGGCGAAAGCCUGACGCAGCGACGCCGCGUGAGGGAUGACGGCCU